rnacentral:rRNA from 1 species
CCUACGGGCGGCAGCAGUGAGGAAUAUUGGUCAAUGGACGAGAGUCUGAACCAGCCAAGUAGCGUGAAGGAUGACUGCCCUAUGGGUUGUAAACUUCUUUUAUAUGGGAAUAAAAUGUUCCAAGUGUGGGAUUUUGUACGUACCAUAUGAAUAAGGAACGGCUAACUCCGUGCCAGAAGCCGCGGUAAUACGGCGGAUCCGAGCGUUAUCCGGAUUUAGUGGGUUUAAAGGGAGCGUAGGUGGAUUGUUAAGUCAGUUGUGAAAGUUUGCGGCUCAACCGUAAAAUUGCAGUUGAUACUGGCAGUCUUGAGUACAGUAGAGGUGAGCGGAAUUCGUGGUGUAGCGGUGAAAUGCUUAGAUAUCACGAAGAACUCCGAUUGCGAAGGCAGUUCACUGGACUGCAACUGACACUGAGGCUCGAAAGUGUGGGUAUCAAACAGGAUUAGAUACCCUGGUAGUC